rnacentral:rRNA from 1 species
GUCCACGCCCUAAACGAUGAUGACUAGUUGUUGGAGGAGUUAAAUCCUUUAGUAACGCAGCUAACGCGAGAAGUCAUCCGCCUGUGGAGUACGGUCGCAAGAUUAAAACUCAAAGGAAUUGACGGGGGCCCGCACAAGCGGUGGAUGAUGUGGUUUAAUUCUACGCAACGCGAAAACCUUACCUACCCUUGACAUGUACGGAGCCUCAUAGAGAUGUGAGGGUGCCCGAAAGGGAGCCGUAACACAGGUGCUGCAUGGCUGUCGU